rnacentral:rRNA from 1 species
GAUGAACGCUGGCGGCGUGCCUAAUACAUGCAAGUCGAGCGAACGGACGAGAAGCUUGCUUCUCUGAUGUUAGCGGCGGACGGGUGAGUAACACGUGGAUAACCUACCUAUAAUACUGGGAUAACUUCGGGAAACCGGAGCUAAUACCGGAUGAUAUUUUGAACCGCAUGGUUCAAAAGUGAAAGACGGUCUUGCUGUCACUUAUAGCUGGAUCCGCGCUGCAUUAGCUAGUUGGUAAGGUAACGGCUUACCAAGGCAACGAUGCAUAGCCGACCUGAGAGGGUGAUCGGCCACACGGGAACGGAGACACGGUCCAGACUCCUACGGGAGGCAGCAGUAGGGAAUCUUCCGCAAUGGGCGAAAGCCUGACGGAGCGACGCCGCGUGAGUGAUGAAGGUCUUCGGAUCGUAAAGCUCUGUUAUUAGGGAAGAACAUAUGUGUAAGUAACUGUGGACAUCUUGACGGUACCUAAUCAGAAAGCCACGGCUAACUACGUG